AGUGAACGCUGGCGGUAGGCCUAACACAUGCAAGUCGAACGGCAGCACAGUAAGAGCUUGCUCUUACGGGUGGCGAGUGGCGGACGGGUGAGGAAUACAUCGGAAUCUACUUUUUCGUGGGGGAUAACGUAGGGAAACUUACGCUAAUACCGCAUACGACCUACGGGUGAAAGCAGGGGAUCUUCGGACCUUGCGCGAUUGAAUGAGCCGAUGUCGGAUUAGCUAGUUGGCGGGGUAAAGGCCCACCAAGGCGACGAUCCGUAGCUGGUCUGAGAGGAUGAUCAGCCACACUGGAACUGAGACACGGUCCAGACUCCUACGGGAGGCAGCAGUGGGGAAUAUUGGACAAUGGGCGCAAGCCUGAUCCAGCCAUACCGCGCGGGUGAAGAAGGCCUUCGGGUUGUAAAGCCCUUUUGUUGGGAAAGAAAAGCAGCAGGUUAAUACCCCGCUGUUCUGACGGUACCCAAAGAAUAAGCACCGGCUAACUUCGCG
rnacentral:rRNA from 1 species